GGGCCUGUAGCCUAGCCUGGAUUGGGCGGCAGUCUCCUAAGCUGCAGAUCGCGGGUUCGAAUCCCGCCAGGUCCG
rfam:Thermoplasmatales archaeon SG8-52-4 WOR_8-12_163, whole genome shotgun sequence.